GUUUCGACUAUGUUUUGGGGCAUUACACGUCGGUUUCUAUCACACGGUUAAUGUACUGUAUACACUUUUAAGGGGUCUGUGUAGGCAACCCGCUACAGUGGUUAGCGCCGCGAUGUCCCCGAGGAAUACACCGAGUGUUCCGCGGUAUUGUCGUCCACAGUAUAUUGUGAUAAAAGAUCAUUUUCAGUCAAGUGUCUGAACACGGGUAUGCA